CUUUUCUUGUUAUAAAUAUGAAAUAUGGCCUGCCCAAUGAUAUAAAUUUAAUGGCCGCGGUAUACUGACCGUGCAAAGGUAGCAUAAUAAUUAGUGUUUUAAUUGGAGACUAGAAUGAAUGGUUAAACGAAAUAAAAUCUGUUUUGGAUUUAUAAGUUUGAAUUUAAUUAUUAAGUUAAAAAGCUUAAAUUUUUUUAUGGGACGAUAAGACCCUAUAGAAUUUAAUAAUUUUUUAUAAUAAUUUAGUUUGAUUUUAAUUUAUUAUAAAAAAUUAUUUUAUUGGGGUGAUAUUAAGAUAUUAUUAACUCUUAUUGAAUUGUAAAUAUAUAUAUAUAUAUAUAUAUUGAUCCAUUUAUAUUGAUUAUAAGAUAAAAUUACC
rnacentral:rRNA from 1 species